AUUGAACGCUGGCGGCAUGCCUUACACAUGCAAGUCGAACGGUAACAGGUCUUCGGAUGCUGACGAGUGUCGAACGGGUGAGUAAUACAUCGGAACGUGCCUAGUAGUGGGGGAUAACUACUCGAAAGAGUGGCUAAUACCGCAUGAGAUCUACGGAUGAAAGCAGGGGAUCGCAAGACCUUGUGCUACUAGAGCGGCCGAUGGCAGAUUAGGUAGUUGGUGGGAUAAAAGCUUACCAAGCCGACGAUCUGUAGCUGGUCUGAGAGGACGAUCAGACACACUGGGACUGAGAAACGGCCCAGACUCCUACGGGAGGCAGCAGUGGGGAAUUUUGGACAAUGGGCGCAAGCCUGAUUCAGCAAUGCCGCGUGCAGGAUGAAGGCCUUCGGGUUGUAAACUGCUUUUGUACGGAACGAAAAGCCCCGGGUUAAUACCCUGGGGUCAUGACGGUACCGUAAGAAUAAGCACCGGCUAACUACGUGCCAGCCGCCGCCGUAA
rnacentral:rRNA from 1 species